AACGAACGCUGGCGGCAUGCCUAACACAUGCAAGUCGAACGAGACCUUCGGGUCUAGUGGCGCACGGGUGCGUAACGCGUGGGAACCUGCCCUUAGGUUCGGAAUAACUCCCCGAAAGGGGUGCUAAUACCGGAUAAUGUCUUCGGACCAAAGAGUUAUCGCCUUUGGAUGGGCCCGCGUUGGAUUAGCUAGUUGGUAGUGUAAAAGCCGACCAACGCGAGGAUCCAGAGCUGGUCUGAGAGGAUGAUCAGCCACACUUGGACUGAGACACGGCCCAGACUCCUAGGGAGGGGAGCAGUGGGGUAUAUUGGACAAUGGGCGAAAGCGUGAUACAGCAAUGCGGGGUGAGUGAUGCAGGCCUUAGGGUUGUAAAGCUCUUUUACCCGGGAUGAUAAUGACAGUACCGGGAGAAUAAGCACCGGCUAACUCCGUG
rnacentral:rRNA from 1 species